rnacentral:lncRNA from 1 species
CUCACACCCUCCUCUUGUGGGGCGAUUUUGGGUCUUACACCCUCUCCCUCUCGGAGCGAUUGACACAAGUAUUUAUGGAGUUUGUAAAAUCAUUCAUUAUUUUUUUCAUGAAAGAUACAAGGAUUUAUAUAGGACUCUAAGGGUUCUGUUUGUUUAGGAAUCUCUUAUCUUUACAAGGAAGAAAUCAACCCUCCACAAAAAAGUAAAGCAUUAUAAUCUACCAUAGAAAAGAAAUCAGCCUUCAACAAAAUAAGUAAGUAGCCAAGAACUCUUAAGGAAUUCUAAGAAAGAAAUGGAACUCUAUGUGGGUGCUUGAUGCUUGACACAACUUGGCAUGAGCACGGCAC